GAUGAACGCUAGCGGCAGGCCUAAUACAUGCCAGUCGGACGGGAUUCAGGAGCUUGCUUCUGAUGAGAGUGGCGCACGGGUGCGUAACACGUAUGUAACCUACCUUUAUCAGGGGGAUAGCCUCUCGAAAGAGAGAUUAAGCCCGCAUAAAAUCACAGCACAGCAUUGUGUAAUGAUCAAAUAUUUAUAGGAUAAAGAUGGGCAUGCGGAACAUUAGCUAGAUGGCGGGGUAACGGCCCACCAUGGCGACGAUGUUUAGGGGAUCUGAGAGGAUGGCCCCCCACACUGGUACUGAGACACGGACCAGACUCCUACGGGAGGCAGCAGUAAGGAAUAUUGGUCAAUGGGCGGAAGCCUGAACCAGCCAUGCCGCGUGCAGGAAGACGGCCCUACGGGUUGUAAACUGCUUUUAUACGGGAAUAAACCCAGAUACGUGUAUCUGGCUGAAUGUACUGUAAGAAUAAGGAUCGGCUAACUCCAUG
rnacentral:rRNA from 1 species